CGAACAAGGUCUCCGUUGGUGAACCAGCGGAGGGAUCAUUA
rnacentral:rRNA from 1 species